rnacentral:rRNA from 1 species
GACGAACGCUGGCGGCGGGCUUAACACAUGCAAGUCGAACGGAAAGGCCCUGCUUUUGUGUGGUGCUCGAGUGGCGAACGGGUGAGUAACACGUGAAUAACCUGGCCUUGACUUUGGGAUAACUUCAGGAAACUGGGGCUAAUACCGGAUAGGAGCUCCUGCUGCAGGGGGGGGGUUGGAAAGUUUCGGCGGUUGGGGAUGUACUCGCGGCUUAUCAGCUUGUUGGUGGGGUAGUGGCUUACCAAGGCUUUGACGGGUAGCCGGCCUGAGAGGGUGACCGGCCACAUUGGGACUGAGAUACGGCGCAGACUCCUACGGGAGGCAGCAGUGGGGAAUAUUGCACAAUGGGCGGAAGCCUGAUGCAGCAACGCCGCGUGCGGGAUGACGGCCUUCGGGUUGUAAACCGCUUUCGCCUGUGACGAAGCGUGAGUGACGGUAAUGGGUAAAGAAGCACCGGCUAACUACGUG